GCGUAACGCGUGGGAAUCUGCCCUUGGGUUCGGAAUAACAGUCGGAAACGACUGCUAAUACCGGAUGAUGACGAAAGUCCAAAGAUUUAUCGCCCAGGGAUGAGCCCGCGUAGGAUUAGCUAGUUGGUGAGGUAAAGGCUCACCAAGGCGACGAUCCUUAGCUGGUCUGAGAGGAUGAUCAGCCACACUGGGACUGAGACACGGCCCAGACUCCUACGGGAGGCAGCAGUAGGGAAUAUUGGACAAUGGGCGCAAGCCUGAUCCAGCAAUGCCGCGUGAGUGAUGAAGGCCUUAGGGUUGUAA
rnacentral:rRNA from 1 species